rnacentral:lncRNA from 1 species
CUCCAGCUCUGUUUUAUUGUUUUCAGGGGGUCUCUUGUCUACUUCACUCAUCUAACCCAUUCCACUACUUCCACACCUAACUGCAAGUUGUUUAUCUCUCUUCCCUAUCAUUCCUAGCACAACACUCUCGUCACCAGACUGACCACGCUUGUUGCUGGCAAAGAUGCUCUUGUGUCCUUUGGUCACAGUUCUUCUUAGCAGCCCUUGACCCACAGAUGAACCAAAUUAAACACAGCCAAUUGAGUAUUUCUGGUCUCACUGAAUUCGGACUGGUUACACUGAAUGUUGUGGAGAAAGAUCACUGUGCAGAAGUGCAUCAAGAGAGAAAGGAUCCUGAUAGUUAGACAGGAAAGUGACAGCUGCAGGAUUAGUGAAUAAAAGGCACAACUUAAAACUGUACA